CAGUAGCCGCGGGAAUACGUAGGUGGCAAGCGUUGUCCGGAUUUAUUGGGCGUAAAGCGAGCGCAGGCGGUCAAUUAAGUCUGGUGUGAAAGCCCCCGGCUCAACCGGGGAGGGUCAUUGGAAACUGGUUGACUUGAGUGCAGAAGAGGAGAGUGGAAUUCCAUGUGUAGCGGUGAAAUGCGUAGAUAUAUGGAGGAACACCAGUGGCGAAGGCGACUCUCUGGCCUGUAACUGACGCUGAGGCUCGAAAGCGUGGGUAGCAAACAGGAUUAGAUACCCCUGUAGUCCCUGUCUCUUAUAC
rnacentral:rRNA from 1 species